UCCGGUAUGAGGGUGAAACGGGCCAUCCCCAUACCCCGUCCGGUAUGAGCGCCAAAACAUUUAAAGUCUCCAUACCCCGUCCAAUAUGAGACAACGUUUCCUGAAGGGUUCUCUAUGGACCCAGUCCAUCCACUAUCUCCCAGGAUAUCUAGUGAGGCUGUCAACUUAUCCAUUUAUCAAUUCACACCUCUUUCCUAUUUUUUCUUAGUUUCCUGUUUCCCACAUAAAC
rnacentral:lncRNA from 1 species